UAGGGUUUGAUUAUGGCUCAGAUUGAACGCUGGCGGUAGGCUUAACACAUGCAAGUCGUGCGAGAAAGUAUACUUUCGGAUAUGAGUAGAGCGGCGGACGGGUGAGUAACGCGUAGGAAUCUACCUAGUAGAAGGGGAUAGCCCGGGGAAACUCGGAUUAAUACCGUAUACCUCCUUCGGGAGAAAGAAGGCCUCUACUUUGAAGCUUUCGCUAUUAGAUGAGCCUGCGUAAGAUUAGCUUGUUGGUGAGGUAAAGGCUCACCAAGGCGACGAUCUUUAGCGGGUCUGAGAGGACGAUCCGCCACAUUGGGACUGAGACACGGCCCAGACUCCUACGGGAGGCAGCAGUGGGGAAUAUUGGACAAUGGGCGCAAGCCUGAUCCAGCCAUACCGCGUGUGUGAAGAAGGCCCUAGGGUUGUAAAGCACUUUAAGUUGGGAAGAAAAGUUAUUGGUUAAUAUCCAAUAACCGUGACAUUACCAUCAGAAUAAGGACCGGCUAAUUCCGUGCCAGCAGCCGCGGUAAUACA
rnacentral:rRNA from 1 species